AUGCAGUCGAACGAUGAACCUCCUAUACGGGAGGGGAUUAGUGGCGAACGGGUGAGUAACACGUGGGCAAUCUGCCCUUCACUCUGGGACAAGCCCUGGAAACGGGGUCUAAUACCGGAUACGAGCCUCCAAGGCAUCUUGGAGGUUGGAAAGCUCCGGCGGUGAAGGAUGAGCCCGCGGCCUAUCAGCUUGUUGGUGAGGUAACGGCUCACCAAGGCGACGACGGGUAGCCGGCCUGAGAGGGCGACCGGCCACACUGGGACUGAGACACGGCCCAGACUCCUACGGGAGGCAGCAGUGGGGAAUAUUGCACAAUGGGCGAAAGCCUGAUGCAGCGACGCCGCGUGAGGGAUGACGGCCUUCGGGUUGUAAACCUCUUUCAGCAGGGAAGAAGCGAGAGUGACGGUACCUGCAGAAGAAGCGCCGGCUAACUACGUGCCAGCAGCCGCGGUAAUACGUAGGGCGCAAGCGUUGUCCGGAAUUAUUGGGCGUAAAGAGCUCGUAGGCGGCUUGUCACGUCGGUUGUGAAAGCCCGGGGCUUAACCCCGGGUCUGCAGUCGAUACGGGCAGGCUAGAGUUCGGUAGGGGAGAUCGGAAUUCCUGGUGUAGCGGUGAAAUGCGCAGAUAUCAGGAGGAACACCGGUGGCGAAGGCGGAUCUCUGGGCCGAUACUGACGCUGAGGAGCGAAAGCGUGGGGAGCGAACAGGAUUAGAUACCCUGGUAGUCCACGCCGUAAACGGUGGGCACUAGGUGUGGGCAACAUUCCACGUUGUCCGUGCCGCAGCUAACGCAUUAAGUGCCCCGCCUGGGGAG
rnacentral:rRNA from 1 species